rnacentral:rRNA from 1 species
GGGGAUGCGUUCCAUUAGAUAGUAGGCGGGGUAACGGCCCACCUAGUCUUCGAUGGAUAGGGGUUCUGAGAGGAAGGUCCCCCACAUUGGAACUGAGACACGGUCCAAACUCCUACGGGAGGCAGCAGUGAGGAAUAUUGGUCAAUGGGCGAGAGCCUGAACCAGCCAAGUAGCGUGAAGGAUGACUGCCCUAUGGGUUGUAAACUUCUUUUAUAAAGGAAUAAAGUCGGGUAUGCAUACCCGUUUGCAUGUACUUUAUGAAUAAGGAUCGGCUAACUCCGUGCCAGCAGCCGCGGUAAUACGGAGGAUCCGAGCGUUAUCCGGAUUUAUUGGGUUUAAAGGGAGCGUAGAUGGAUGUUUAAGUCAGUUGUGAAAGUUUGCGGCUCAACCGUAAAAUUGCAGUUGAUACUGGAUAUCUUGAGUGCAGUUGAGGCAGGCGGAAUUCGUGGUGUAGCGGUGAAAUGCUUAGAUAUCACGAAGAACUCCGAUUGCGAAGGCAGCCUGCUAAGCUGCAACUGACAUUGAGGCUCGAAAGUGUGGGUAUCAAACAGGAUUAGAUACCCUGGUAGUCCACACGGUAAACGAUGAAUACUCGCUGUUUGCGAUAUACAGCAAGCGGCCAAGCGAAAGCGUUAAGUAUUCCACCUGGGGAGUA